rnacentral:tRNA from 1 species
GCGGGUGCAGCUCAGUGGUAGAGCUCAUGCUUAGCAUGCAGGAGGCCUUGGGUUCAAUCCCCAGUACCUCCA